ACGGAAGGCAGCAGUAGGGAAUCUUCCACAAUGGGCGAAAGCCUGAUGGAGCAACGCCGCGUGUGAUGAAGGGUUUCGGCUCGUAAAACACUGCUGUAAGAGAAGAAUGACAUUGAGAGCAACUGUUCAAUUUGUGACGGUAUCUUACCAGACAGGAACGGCCAAAUACGUGCCAGCAGCCGCGGUAAUACGUAUGUUCCAAGCGUUAUCCGGAUUUAUUGGGCGUAAAGCGAGCGCAGACGGUUAUUUAAGUCUGAAGUGAAAGCCCUCAGCUCAACUGAGGAAUUGCUUUGGAAACUGGAUGGCUUGAGUGCAGUAGAGGAAGGUGGAACUCCAUGUGUAGCGGUGAAAUGCGUAGAUAUAUGGAAGAACACCAGUGGCGAAGGCGGCUUUCUAGACUGCAACUGACGUUGAGGCUCGAAAGUGUGGGUAGCAAACAGGAUUAGAUACCCUGGUA
rnacentral:rRNA from 1 species